GAUGAACGCUAGCUACAGGCUUAACACAUGCAAGUCGAGGGGAAACGACAUCGAAAGCUUGCUUUUGAUGGGCGUCGACCGGCGCACGGGUGAGUAACGCGUAUCCAACCUGCCCAUCACUUGGGGAUAACCUUGCGAAAGUAAGACUAAUACCCAAUGAUAUCUCUAGAAGACAUCUGAAAGAGAUUAAAGAUUUAUCGGUGAUGGAUGGGGAUGCGUCUGAUUAGCUUGUUGGCGGGGUAACGGCCCACCGAGGCGACGAUCAGUAGGGGUUCUGAGAGGAAGGUCCCCCACAUUGGAACUGAGACACGGUCCAAACUCCUACGGGAGGCAGCAGUGAGGAAUAUUGGUCAAUGGACGAGAGUCUGAACCAGCCAAGUAGCGUGCAGGAUGACGGCCCUAUGGGUUGUAAACUGCUUUUAUAAGGGAAUAAAGUGAGUCUCGUGAGACUUUUUGCAUGUACCUUAUGAAUAAGGACCGGCUAAUUCCGUGCCAGCCGCCGCCGUAA
rnacentral:rRNA from 1 species